rnacentral:lncRNA from 1 species
UCGUAUAUUGAAAUUAAAACGAACGAAUAAAAGGAUAACAUCAUUGAUUAAAACUUAUGUGUUAGUACAGUACCAUGGAAUACCUAAACAUGCAAAAUGUAUGCCGAACAUAUGUAUUUAAAAAUAUACGUUUAUUAUUCAAAUUAACUUCCACAAAUCUUACGUAACGACAAUAAAGUUGACCAUAACGUGAAACAUUUUUUUAUCCAGCACACAAUAUAAAAACGCGCGAACAUGGCAUCGAAUAAAAGUAAAAAAUAUCGGUAAAAAGUCAAAAAGUAAUUUAAAAAAAAGAAGCUAUCACCUUCAAUAAUACGUAUCAGCUUUCGAAUUCAAGAUAUGCGACUUAUAUAAUAUUAUUAAUAUUCUAUAUAAUCCUCGGAAAGAUGCAAGGUUUCGAAGUAGGAACGUACCUGGACGCCGGCCGAAGAUAAUUGCGGAUUAAGCUCCAUAAAGCAAUGAAGUAUCUCAAAUUCUUUGUAUUUUCUUAUUCCUUUCUAUCGAGCUAACAAUAGAAAGAAUAUAAUAUUUAUGGUCAUACCACAAAUUAAACUCUUUAUUUCUUUACGAUGUUUACAUUGAACAAUACCUUUACGAAAAGCAUUAUGUUCUGUAAUUUCUUACUCUUUUGUAUUAUCUUUUCUUUUAUUCUUACUGUAAAUUUAUUUUAACAGUUUUGUAUUGUACGCAUAAGAAAAUGGUAAAAAAAAUAAAUGGUUAAUUAUAACGAAAACGUAAUUUCUUAUCUGUUUUCACAUGUAACUGUAACGGAUAAGUACAAAUAUAAAUCAUAAUGAAAUUGCCACAUAUCAUAUCGAUGUGCGAUUACAUAAUUAUAAUAUUACCGUUUUUUUUAUUACAGUAAAUUUCCAAUUUUUUCCUUUUAGCUCGCAAAUCAAAAUUCAUGUUAUCAUAAGCUUAUUUCAUUCGAUAUCUUCGAUAUAUGUACAAUUAAUAAAUUAAAUAUAUAAUUUUAUCUACUUUUAAUAACAAUUGGUUAUUAAUUAACUUAGUCUUAAUGGUACAUUUACGAACUUCCUUCAAAUGAUAGUUACGAAAACAUGUUAGGGACUGAAUUAAAAAGCAAGGAACAUUCGUUAUUUAAGAGUCCUGAGAAUACCUAAUAUUACCUGCGGCGGUGCGUAGUAGAGACUACGAGUAGAAAUCAAGGACAUGAUAAUGUGAAAAGUAAUAGCUACAAUUAAUCAUUCAAUAUCGAACUAGCUAUUCAUUAUUGAAUGUCAAAGUACUUUUUAUCAAUAAUACACAUAUUUUAUUAAUAAUAAACAGUAACUAUUGGUAUGUUAUGUUGAUCAUUGUUACAAUACGACUUGAUGCAUUAUCAGGUGUAAUUCUUAUGUAGUAACUUGAGUACACACAUCUUCGAUCAUUUCUAUAUUUUUUUGUUAUUUACUUCGUUUUUCAGGUAAACUUAUAUAAAAAGAUUGUUUACGUCAAUAAAGUUAUGUCACGAUCAACAUACCUUCCAUGACAUCAAUUUACUGUGAAAGCGUGUAUGUAUGUGCUAUACAUGCAUAUGACACAUAAAAUGGCCACGUGUGAAUCUCGUAAGAGCCAAUGACUUUGCAACAAAAAGUGAGUCAUAGUCAUAUCCUAUGUGAGUUGGUUGACGUUUGCUCUUGGAUAGUGUCAGAAAUUCUGAUAGUAUUCAUAGAUAGAUUUGUUAAACAAGAUAUAUAUCCUAGUACCGUUUUCAUGACCAAGCUUUACAAUUUACACACGUUCGAUAAUAUGCUAAACAAAUCAAAGCAACGACGUAAAUUUAAUCUUCGAUUAAUACACUGUGAGAUAGAUAACGUAGUCUGACAUUCUCAUUACUGUGAAUACAAAGAUUUUAAUUAACAUUUUAUGCUAAUUUAAUAGAAAUUGAACGUGUUUAUGUAUCUUUGGUGCAUAUAAAUAUUGUAUAACCUCUAAGUACUAUUGUAGUGAAUGAAACGCAUAAUAUCCGGACUAAAAAAAAAGCAUGACUAAGAAAUAAAAAACAAAAUUACACUACGAUCUUAUACUGAAGUAUAAGAAUAAUA